rnacentral:misc_RNA from 1 species
UGGUUCUGGCAUCGAUGAAGAACGCAGCGAAAUGCGAUAAGUAAUGUGAAUUGCAGAAUUUAGUGAAUCAUCGAAUCUUUGAACGCACAUUGCACUCCUUGGUAUUCCGGGGAGUAUGCUUGUCCGAGCGUCAUUUCACCUCUCAAGCUUAUGCUUGGUAUUGGAUCUUGUCGGUAACGACAUUUCCGAAAACGAGUGGCAGGUUGUUGAACUUUAGCGAAUUGAAACAUUAUCGUGUCAAGUAUUAUCACGCCUUGCCAAAAACCUCCAAAUUCUUGACCUCGGAUCAGGUAGGGAUACCCGCUGA